rnacentral:rRNA from 1 species
CCUACGGGAGGCAGCAGUGAGGAAUAUUGGUCAAUUGACGCAAGUCUGAACCAGCCAUGCCGCGUGCAGGAAGACGGCUCUAUGAGUUGUAAACUGCUUUUGUACGAGGGUAAACGCAGAUACGCGUAUCUGUCUGAAAGUAUCGUACGAAUAAGGAUCGGCUAACUCCGUGCCAGCAGCCGCGGUAAUACGGAGGAUUCAAGCGUUAUCCGGAUUUAUUGGGUUUAAAGGGUGCGUAGGCGGUCGGAUAAGUUAGAGGUGAAAUCCCGAGGCUCAACUUCGGAAUUGCCUCUGAUACUGUGCGGCUAGAGAGUAGUUGCGGUAGGCGGAAUGUAUGGUGUAGCGGUGAAAUGCUUAGAGAUCAUACAGAACACCGAUUGCGAAGGCAGCUUACCAAGCUACUUCUGACGUUGAGGCACGAAAGCGUGGGGAGCAAACAGGAUUAGAUACCCCAGUAGUC